rnacentral:rRNA from 1 species
GACGAACGCUGGCGGCGUGCUUAACACAUGCAAGUCGAACGAAGAGCGAUGGAAGCUUGCUUCUAUCAAUCUUAGUGGCGAACGGGUGAGUAACGCGUAAUCAACCUGCCCUUCAGAGGGGGACAACAGUUGGAAACGACUGCUAAUACCGCAUACGAUCUGACCUCGGCAUCGAGGAUAGAUGAAAGGCGGCCUCUACAUGUAAGCUAUCACUGAAGGAGGGGAUUGCGUCUGAUUAGCUAGUUGGAGGGGUAACGGCCCACCAAGGCGAUGAUCAGUAGCCGGUCUGGGAGGAUGAACGGCCACAUUGGGACUGAGACACGGCCCAGACUCCUACGGGAGGCAGCAAGGGGGAAUCUUCCGCAAUGGACGAAAGUCUGACGGAGCAACGCCGCGUGAGUGAUGACAGCCUUCGGGUUGUAAAGCUCUGUUAAUCGGGACGAAAGGCCUUUUUGCGAAUAGUGAGAAGGAUUGACGGUACCGGAAUAGAAAGCCACGGCUAACUACGUG